CAUAAAAGUAUCUUUUUUGCAUGCAUUCUAGUGAUGAUACUUUCUUUGGUCAAUGGGAAACAAUUUAAAGUUUGAAAGUUUCUCAACUUAUACGAUGCAAGGCAAAAAACUCAAUUUUGCGAUCCAAAUUAGUUACGAGUCAGUGAAAAAAAACAUUCGUUCAGCUUUUAAUCACUAAAAGAACAAAACACUUAUCUAGCAACAUGUUUGGAUUAUCAUUUAUUUUCAAGCAUCUAUAAGACACAAAUCGAAAGUAUCAUGUGUUUAGUGUAACUUAAUUUUAAGUUUUCUUAACUCAUUUUGGCUGAGAUUCACAGCUUAAAUAUAGACUAUUUGACGAAAAUCACGGUUCGAAACUUGAUCAGUUUUGUAUUUGGUUGAUUUCAGGAAGUUUCAUGUAACUUGGCAAAAGGACCUUGUUUGUUUGAUAUUGUCAAGGACCCUUGUGAAUAUGAAAACUUGCUUGGAAUGAAUGGAACAGAUAUUCCUCCCAAAAUGUUGAGAAUUCUUGACAUGUUGCAAGCGACCAUUCAGUUUUCCGUUGUCAGGAAAAAAGAUCUCAGAGGUCAUCCGACAAAGUGGAACGACACUUGGACAAACUUCUUGGACUACGUCGAUCCCAAACCAAGGGAAGCGGUUAUUGCAGAGAAUGAAGAACGAUUUAGAAAUCCUGACUUAGUUGAAAUGGAUAUUCAAAACGCAUUUCUUUAUUGAAACCUGCGCUUCUUUACUUAGAUUACUGUUGUUAAAGGGGUGAAAUCAAACCUGUAUAGAAAAGAGAAAAGGACCGAUGUGAUGGUUUCAUCAGUGAUCUGUACAUCCGGCAUCCAGGGAUCAGCAAGAUACCGAGGUGUGUGAAUGCUGUGACCUUGGGAGUGAAAUGAGUUAACUCAUGAUCAUGAGAUGAAAUACUGGGAAAAGAGCAGAACGAAAUGAGUUAACUCAUGAUCAUGAGAUAAAAUACUGGGAAAAGAGCAGAUACCAGAAAUAAAAUGCUUCCGUUUUGUCUCGAAAAUCAGAAAAAUGAACGAUCGCAAUGACAAGCAGCUCUCGACUGAAUUUCUUCUAAUUUGUCAGUCUUCGCUUCUCCAAAGAAUUCCAGGCCGUAAUCUAAUUCACCUUGGAUAAAUGAAUUGUACGUUAGUAACUUCAUUUUUGUUGGAAGAUGUUUUCCAUGGUAGCUAAAAUUAAAUAAAGUUCGCUUUAACCCA